GACGUAGGGUCCAAGCGUUGUCCGGAUUUACUGGGCGUAAAGAGCGCGUAGGCGGUCUGUUAAGUGUAGAGUGAAAUCUCCAGGGCUCAACCCGGAAACUGCUCUGCAUACUGGCAGACUGGAGUGAUGCAGAGGUUUGUGGAAUUCCUGGUGUAACGGUGAAAUGUGUUGAUAUCAGGAGGAACACCCAUGGCGAAGGCAGCAAACUGGGCAUUAACUGACGCUGAGGAGCGAAAGCGUGGGGAGCGAACAGG
rnacentral:rRNA from 1 species